CUCCAGGGCAUCCCUGACCAGACGCGCCCCCGCAGCACCCGGCAGCUGGCACACGUCUGACGACCUCCUGGAGGAGGGCGACGGCAGCGACACAAGAGGCUGUGCCGGUUGUCCUGGGCGCACCCGAACAAGGCCUUGGGAAGGGCAGCGCGCCCCGCAACUGGGCCUGGGCCGCCUGCUCCACGACCCCCCCGAGGACUGCCGCAGCGACGGCGGCAGCAGCAGCGGCAGCGGCAGCAGCAGCGCGGGGGAGCCUGGAGGAGCAGAGAGCAGCUCGUCCCCGCACGCCCCCGAGAGCGAAACCCCCGAGCCCGGCGACGCCGAGGGCCCCGAUGGACACCUGGCGACCAAGCAGCGCCCGGUCGCCAGAUCGAAAAUCAAGUUCACCACAGGCACAUGCAGCGACUCGGUGGUUCACAGCUGUGACCUGUGUGGCAAGGGCUUCCGUCUGCAGCGCAUGCUGAACCGUCACCUCAAGUGCCACAACCAGGUGAAAAGACACCUGUGCACCUUCUGCGGCAAGGGCUUCAACGACACCUUCGACCUGAAGAGGCACGUCCGCACACACACAGGCAUUCGUCCCUACAAAUGCAAUGUCUGCAAUAAAGCCUUCACCCAGCGCUGCUCUCUGGAGUCCCACCUGAAGAAAAUCCACGGGGUGCAGCAGCAGUACGCCUAUAAGCAACGGCGGGACAAGCUCUAUGUCUGCGAGGAUUGCGGCUACACGGGCCCCACCCAGGAGGACCUGUACCUGCACGUGAACAGUGCCCAUCCGGGCAGCUCGUUUCUCAAAAAGACAUCUAAAAAACUGGCAGCCCUUCUGCAGGGCAAGCUGACAUCCACACACCAGGAGAAUACCAGCCUGAGUGAGGAGGAGGAGAGGAAGUGAGGAGAAGGAAGAGGAGGACAGAUGUUCACACUGCCACAUAUGUCUACGUGGAUUUUUGGUUUUCAGCGUCCCCCACCCCACUGGCUGUUCUUAAUUAGAAGUGACCAGUUCACCUCUGUGUCCUUUUGAAACAUCAGCAGUAGGGUCCAUUCCAAGAUUGUCAGUUACCGUAGUGACGUCAGGCCCUGUAACCUGUGUCCUGUCUGGCGCAGUUGCUCACAUUCACCAAAGUUUAUUUUCAUGAUCCUGAUGGCCAAGAACACCGUGUGGGAUUUUUUUUUCCCCCAAGGAUUUUCACACACGGAAGGAGAGGUAUUUCUUAGAGAGAUCAUCAUUUUAUGGUGCCUUGAAAUAAAAAUACUUCUACUUGAAA
rnacentral:sRNA from 1 species